CUUGAGUAUUUAAAUACAAUAUUUAAUUAUAUUUGUACCUUCGGCUUGACAGAAGGCAAAAAUCCGAGCGUUGUGCACAAGCGAAUACAAGAUAGCGUGAACAGUACAUGGGUACUGUUCAUCUAUUUAUAGGCACAGGACACAGCCUGUGAGAAAUUACAUUCAUGCCCUUUACAAAUGUUUACAAUCAUAGUACAAGCUAUCUCAGGCCGAUUGGUCAUUUCAUCUUUAAGUCGGUGCAUCUGAAAAUGUACUCCGAAGCUCUUUGAUUGAAAGCUUCGGCUUUAUGUCAGUCUUCCGAAGGUGUUUCUUCUUAUGGGACCUUCGGCGACGAAGCAGACCCCCAACAGUAAUCUUGUUCCUUUUUCAAUACCUAAACAAAUCUUUACUUAGGGAUUAAUCUUCUCUUGUAAGGAACCAUACAAGCUUGAACUAUCAGAGGACUAGUGCAUAUUAUAUUUUAUCCAAAGACCUGAUUUCACUUAACAAGCUUGCCUAUUUUUCCCAAAGCACCUGAUCCACUUGAUUAGGGAUUUAUCUUAUCUAUUAUGGACCUUGCAAGGCUUUUUGGUCAAAAGGCUUCCAAAUAGCACUAAACAUAGUGCUCCACUAACCAAAACAAAACUACCCAAAAAUUUUCAGAAUUUUUGGCACUUACUUUUUAUUUCUAAAAUUUAAAUAGGCCCUCUAGGAGUACUUUUAAAUCCAUUUUAAUUUGGAAACUAUCCCUAAAAUCCUAAAACCAACUUUAUCAAAGAGCUUUUGAUUUUAGACAUUUAAUAAAAUUUGUCCCACGAUUUUUGGAAUUUUCUACAAUUUUUGGGACAAUAUCCAAGCUUUCAAAUAAAAGAAAAAGGCAAAGCAGUGAAUAGUGAUGGGCCCAAACUCACUUAUCCGGCCCAACCCAGACAUACUUGGCCUGCGACCGAGGCCCCGUGCCCGCACCGGUGCUUUUGUGUGGAGACCCUCGACGCUUGGACACAACUAAUAUGAGCCCAAGCCACUAUUAUCCUGUGUCAUUGACCACUGCACUUAGGACCCUCGAUUUCAAUGCUUUCACAAAAUCCCGGCAACGAUUCCCCCCCCCCCCCCCCCCCCCCCCCCCCCCCAAACAAAAACCCAAGGCAAACCGCAACCACCCCCCCCCACGCUCCCCCACCCCCCCCACCUCCCCCCCCCCCCCCCCCCCCCGCCGCCCACUCUAGCAAAUAGGGAACCAGGGACAUAGCGGCACUGAUCUCCGGCGUGCUCUAACCACCACCAGCACUUGUCCUCGAUCAACACCAUCCGGUCACAAGAGCACAACAACCCACGCCAAGCCUCGAACAUCAUUGGCCAUGACACUAGUGGGACAUUAGGCUCGACACAUUCGAUCUCGAGACCACCAUGGAGUAGAGUUCCAACCAAAGGCGUGGAGAGCAUCACUCACCCUCCAGGAUUAUGGUGCUCGCACGAAGUUGCUUCUGCGAAAGCGCAGGUGGAUAGGUCGGCAUAGAGACUGCACAUGGCGCCAGUCCGCGGCGUCGCGACCACGUUCCAGGCAACUAGCAACGGUAGAGCUCAAGAACUAAGCAUCAUGAGCUUCACUAACCUUAAAAAAGUAUGGAACAAAUAGUAUACGAGUGAGGAAUCCCUUGAGCAUACCUGACCACGGCGAGGUGGGCAAACUGAUGGCGUGGUCACUACAGAGGAGUUGGCGUGUGAUAAACUGGACAGAAUAAGCAUGGUGGCUGGGGAGUGGGUUUACACCGACUUGAACUCAAGAGCUAUGUCCUUCUUGUGAUGAACACAAGCCAAACUCAAGGGCAGGGAGAAAAGCUUCAUUGAUUUAAGCCCUAAGACAACCGAAUGAGGAGGCAGG
rnacentral:lncRNA from 1 species